GAGAAAGCAAAUGCGAUUCCCUGAGUAGCGGCGAGCGAAACGGGAACAGCCCAAACCAAGAGGCUUGCCUCUUGGGGUUGUAGGACACUCUGUACGGAGUUACAAAAGAACGAGGUAGAUGAAGAGGCCUGGAAAGGCCCGCCAUAGGAGGUAACAGCCCUGUAGUCAAAACUUCGUUCUCUCCUGAGUGGAUCCUGAGUACGGCGGAACACGUGAAAUUCCGUCGGAAUCCGG
rnacentral:rRNA from 1 species